GUGCUCACUUCGGCAGCACAUAUACUAAAAAUUGGAACAAUACAGACAAGAUUAGCACGGCCCCUGCUCAAGAAUGACACACAAAUCCGUGAAGCGUUCCGUAUUUCC
rnacentral:snRNA from 2 species